GAUGAAGAACGCAGCGAAAUGCGAUACGUAAUGUGAAUUGCAGAAUUCAGUGAAUCAUCGAGUCUUUGAACGCACAUUGCGCCCUUUGGUAUUCCUUAGGGCAUGCCUGUUCGAGCGUCAUUUAAACCUUCAAGCUAAGCUUGGUGUUGGGUGACUGUCCGCUUCACGGCGGACUCGCCUCAAAAUUAUUGGCGGCCGGUACAUUGGCUUCGAGCGCAGCAGAAACGCGAACUCGGGCCCGUCGUAUUGGCUCCCAGAAGCUAUCUUCACAAUUUUGACCUCGGAUCAGGUAGGGAUACCCGCUGAACUUAAGCAUAUCAAUAAGCGGAGGA
rnacentral:misc_RNA from 1 species